GUCCUUGUAGCUUAAACCAAAGCACGGCGCUGAAGACGCCAAGAUGGACGCCACCACCCCGAGGAC
rnacentral:tRNA from 2 species